GCGCCCCGCCGCCCUGCGCGCCCGGCACCUUCGCCUGCCGCAACGGGCGCUGCAUCGAGGAGCAGUACGCGUGCGACGGCGACCUGGACUGCGCGGACGGCUCCGACGAGGACGCGGCGCCCGGCGGACCUUGCGCCAACGUCACGUGCGCCGACGAGCAGUUCCUGCGCUGCGACUCCAACCGCUGCAUACCCAACUCAUGGAUCUGCGACGGACAGAAAGACUGCAACGACGGCGCCGACGAGGCGGCGGCGGCGUGCGCGGGCGGCGGCUGCCGCGCGGCGCAGUUCCAGUGCGCGCGCUCGCGCCGCUGCAUCCCGCUGUGGUGG